UACGUAGGGUGCAAGCGUUAAUCGGAAUUACUGGGCGUAAAGCGUGCGCAGGCGGUUUUUUAAGCUUGAUGUGAAAUCCCCGGGCUUAACCUGGGAAUGGCAUUUGGGACUGCAAGGCUGGAGUGCGGCAGAGGAGACUGGAAUUCCUGGUGUAGCAGUGAAAUGCGUAGAUAUCAGGAGGAAUACCGAUGGCGAAGGCAGGUCUCUGGGCUGACACUGACGCUCAUGCGCGAAAGCGUGGGGAGCAAACAGG
rnacentral:rRNA from 1 species